AGCUUUGCGCAGUGGCAGUAUCGUAGCCAAUGAGGUUUAUCCGAGGCGCGAUUAUUGCUAAUUGAAAAACCUCCCAGAAAACAAGAUCCCAGAACCUGAUGGAUUCCCUCUGGAAUCCUACCAACCUUUCAAAGAAG